rnacentral:rRNA from 1 species
AACGUAGGACGCAAGCGUUAUCCGGAGUUACUGGGCGUAAAGCGCACGUAGGCGGCUUGGCAAGUCGGAUGUGAAAUCCCUCGGCUCAACCAAGGAAGUGCAUCCGAAACUGCUGAGCUUGAGUACUUAAGAGGAUCGCGGAAUUCCUGGUGUAGCGGUGAAAUGCGCAGAUAUCAGGAGGAACACCGGUGGCGAAGGCGGGUCUCUGGGCCGAUAUUGACGCUGAGGAGCGAAAGCGUGGGGAGCGAACAGG